CGCUCCUCGUCGUUCUUACAUGGGGAGUCGUUUCUGCUCUAUGACGUACGCGUUGAAUAGUAGCGGUAUAAGUGACCGUUUUAAGGUAGCGUAAUUUCUUGCCUGUUAAUUGCUGGCCAGUGAAUGGAUUGACGGAUUAAGAUUGUCUCAAUUGUGUUCUUUAGAAUUUAACUUCCGAGUGAAGAGGCUCGGAUGUUGCAGAGGGACGAGAAGACCCUGUCAAACUUAAAUUAAAGUGAUUAUGUUAAUGUUGGUUAUUAUAAGUUAUGGUGAAAUUUCAGUUGGGGCAACAGGGGAAAAUAGAAAUUCCUUAGAGUUUAUAAUAACAAGUUGGUAUAUAUCCUUACUUAGUAUUAGGAAUGUAGAACAAGUUACUGCAGGGAUAACAGCAUAAUUCCUUUGGCGAGUUCGUAUCAAUAAAGGAGUUUGUGACCUCGAUGUUGAAUUAGGGUUAAUCUUUUAAAUUGUAGCAGUUUAAGUAGUGGGUCUGUUCGCCCUUUAAUACCCUCCA
rnacentral:rRNA from 2 species